AUCGAACGCUGGCGGCAGGCCUAAUACAUGCAAGUCGAACGAGUGGCGGACGGGUAAGUAAUGUCUGGGAAACUGCCUGCUGGCGGGGGAUAACGACUGGAAACGGUAGCUAAUACCGCAUACACUCAGUGGCACGCAGCUGGGUUUAGCUUGUUGGUGGGGUAACGGCUCACCAAGCAGACGCUCCCUAGCCGAUCUGAGAGGGUGACCAGCCACGCUGGAACUGAGACACGGUCCAGACUCCUACGGGAGGCAGCAGUGGGGAAUGUUGCGCAAUGGGCGAAAGCCUGAUGCAGCCAUGCCGCGUGUAUGAAGAAGGCCUUCGGAUUGUAAAAUGCUUUCAGCGGGGAAGCGUUACCCGCAGAGGAAGCCCCGGCUAACUCCGUGCCAGCAGCCGCGGUAAUUC
rnacentral:rRNA from 1 species